GUUGUUGGGUAGGGGAGCGUUCUGUAAGCCUGUGAAGGUGGCCUGUGAGGGUUGCUGGAGGUAUCAGAAGUGCGAAUGCUGACAUAAGUAACGAUAAAGCGGGUGAAAAGCCCGCUCGCCGGAAGACCAAGGGUUCCUGUCCAACGUUAAUCGGGGCAGGGUGAGUCGACCCCUAAGGCGAGGCCGAAAGGCGUAGUCGAUGGGAAACGGGUUAAUAUUCCCGUACUUGGUGUUACUGCGAAGGGGGGACGGAGAAGGCUAUGUUGGCCGGGCGACGGUUGUCCCGGUUUAAGCGUGUAGGUGUGUGUUCCAGGUAAAUCCGGUUCACUUUAACACUGAGGCGUGAUGACGAGGCACUACGGUGCUGAAGCAACAAAUGCCCUGCUUCCAGGAAAAGCCUCUAAGCAUCAGGUAACAUCAAAUCGUACCCCAAACCGACACAGGUGGUCAGGUAGAGAAUACCAAGGCGCUUGAGAGAACUCGGGUGAAGGAACUAGGCAAAAUGGUGCCGUAACUUCGGGAGAAGGCACGCUGACACGUAGGUGAAGUGAUUUACUCACGGAGCUGAAGUCAGUCGAAGAUACCAGCUGGCUGCAACUGUUUAUUAAAAACACAGCACUGUGCAAACACGAAAGUGGACGUAUACGGUGUGACGCCUGCCCGGUGCCGGAAGGUUAAUUGAUGGGGUCAGCGCAAGCGAAGCUCCUGAUCGAAGCCCCGGUAAACGGCGGCCGUAACUAUAACGGUCCUAAGGUAGCGAAAUUCCUUGUCGGGUAAGUUCCGACCUGCACGAAUGGCGUAAUGAUGGCCAGGCUGUCUCCACCCGAGACUCAGUGAAAUUGAACUCGCUGUGAAGAUGCAGUGUACCCGCGGCAAGACGGAAAGACCCCGUGAACCUUUACUAUAGCUUGACACUGAACAUUGAGCCUUGAUGUGUAGGAUAGGUGGGAGGCUUUGAAGCGUGGACGCCAGUCUGCGUGGAGCCGACCUUGAAAUACCACCCUUUAAUGUUUGAUGUUCUAACGUGGACCCGUAUCCGGGUUGCGGACAGUGUCUGGUGGGUAGUUUGACUGGGGCGGUCUCCUCCUAAAGAGUAACGGAGGAGCACGAAGGUUGGCUAAUCCUGGUCGGACAUCAGGAGGUUAGUGCAAUGGCAUAAGCCAGCUUGACUGCGAGCGUGACGGCGCGAGCAGGUGCGAAAGCAGGUCAUAGUGAUCCGGUGGUUCUGAAUGGAAGGGCCAUCGCUCAACGGAUAAAAGGUACUCCGGGGAUAACAGGCUGAUACCGCCCAAGAGUUCAUAUCGACGGCGGUGUUUGGCACCUCGAUGUCGGCUCAUCACAUCCUGGGGCUGAAGUAGGUCCCAAGGGUAUGGCUGUUCGCCAUUUAAAGUGGUACGCGAGCUGGGUUUAGAACGUCGUGAGACAGUUCGGUCCCUAUCUGCCGUGGGCGCUGGAGAACUGAGGGGGGCUGCUCCUAGUACGAGAGGACCGGAGUGGACGCAUCACUGGUGUUCGGGUUGUCAUGCCAAUGGCACUGCCCGGUAGCUAAAUGCGGAAGAGAUAAGUGCUGAAAGCAUCUAAGCACGAAACUUGCCCCGAGAUGAGUUCUCCCUGAGACUUAGAGUCUCCUGAAGGAACGUUGAAGACGACGACGUUGAUAGGCCGGGUGUGUAAGCGCAGCGAUGCGUUGAGCUAACCGGUACUAAUGAACCGUGAGGCUUAACCUU
rnacentral:rRNA from 1 species